AGUGAACGCUGGCGGUAGGCCUAACACAUGCAAGUCGAACGGCAGCACAGAGGAGCUUGCUCCUUGGGUGGCGAGUGGCGGACGGGUGAGGAAUACAUCGGAAUCUACUCUGUCGUGGGGGAUAACGUAGGGAAACUUACGCUAAUACCGCAUACGACCUACGGGUGAAAGCAGGGGAUCUUCGGACCUUGAGCGAUGGAAUGAGACGAUUUCGGAUUAGCUAGUUGGCGGGGUAAAGGACCACCAAGGCGACGAUCCGUAGCUGGUCUGAGAGGGUGAUCAGCCACACUGGAACUGAGACACGGUCCAGACUCCUACGGGAGGCAGCAGUGGGGAAUAUUGGACAAUGGGCGCAAGCCUGAUCCAGCCAUACCGCGUGGGUGAAGAAGGCCUUCGGGUUGUAAAGCCCUUUUGUUGGGAAAGAAAUCCAUCUGGUUAAUACCCGGGUGGGAUGACGGUACCCAAAGAAUAAGCACCGGCUAACUUCGUGCCAGCAGCCGCCGUAA
rnacentral:rRNA from 1 species